rnacentral:rRNA from 1 species
GAUGAACGCUAGCUACAGGCUUAACACAUGCAAGUCGAGGGGAAACGAUAGGGAAAGCUUGCUUUUUCUAGGCGUCGACCGGCGCACGGGUGAGUAACGCGUAUCCAACCUGCCCAUCACUUGGGGAUAGCCUUGCGAAAGUAAGACUAAUACCCAAUGAUAUCUCUAGAAGACAUCUGAAAGAGAUUAAAGAUUUAUCGGUGAUGGAUGGGGAUGCGUCUGAUUAGCUUGUUGGCGGGGUAACGGCCCACCAAGGCGACGAUCAGUAGGGGUUCUGAGAGGAAGGUCCCCCCACAUUGGAACUGAGACACGGUCCAAACUCCUACGGGAGGCAGCAGUGAGGAAUAUUGGUCAAUGGACGAGAGUCUGAACCAGCCAAGUAGCGUGCAGGAUGACGGCCCUAUGGGUUGUAAACUGCUUUUAUAAGGGAAUAAAGUGAGUCUCGUGAGGCUUUUUGCAUGUACCUUAUGAAUAAGGACCGGCUAAUUCCAUGCCAGCAG